ACUGUGCUGGGCAAGGUGGCGCGCCCGGGCAGCUACGAGCUUCCCAGCGACGCUGGCGUGGUUCAGGCCCUCGCCGCAGCA
rnacentral:tRNA from 1 species